rnacentral:rRNA from 1 species
UACAGAGGGGGGCAAGCGUUAUUCGGAAUUAUUGGGCGUAAAGGGCGCGUAGGCGGCCUGGCAAGUGGAAGGUGAAAUCCCUCGGCUUAACCGAGGAACUGCCCUCCAAACUGCUUGGCUUGAGACCGGGAGAGGUGAGUGGAAUUCCCAGUGUAGCGGUGAAAUGCGUAGAUAUUGGGAGGAACACCAGUGGCGAAGGCGGCUCACUGGACCGGUACUGACGCUGAGGCGCGAAAGCGUGGGGAGCAAACGGG